rnacentral:snoRNA from 1 species
GUUGCUUUUUGUGGUGCCGCCCGCCAUUGAUGACCGUUCCCGCGGCCUUUUGGCCCCGGGAGGGAGAGAGCACAGGCUGAGUGGU